UUUUGUGAAAGGCAAACUAGGGGUAACCUUAGGGCGCAAAACCGUGCAUCCUUCGAAGCUCUGCCGUUAAGGACAGAGCGAAGUAGGAUCGGCAGGUUGCUCCU
rnacentral:ncRNA from 1 species